ACUGGGGGGCUUAACACAUGCAAGUCGAACGGAAAGGCCCCUUCGGGGGUACUCGAGUGGCGAACGGGUGAGUAACACGUGGGCAAUCUGCCCUGCACUUCGGGAUAAGCCUGGGAAACUGGGUCUAAUACCGGAUAGGACCUUUAGGCGCAUGUCUUUAGGUGGAAAGCUUUUGCGGUGUGGGAUGGGCCCGCGGCCUAUCAGCUUGUUGGUGGGGUGAUGGCCUACCAAGGCGACGACGGGUAGCCGGCCUGAGAGGGUGUCCGGCCACACUGGGACUGAGAUACGGCCCAGACUCCUACGGGAGGCAGCAGUGGGAGGCUGGGCCUUUCUCACC
rnacentral:rRNA from 1 species